GGGGAGUCCGGAUGGUAUUAUGGAAGCUCGGAUGGCCGGGGAGGUUCAGAAAGAUGCCGCACAAGGUUGGAAGCUGGAAGAGGCCUGGGAGGGUCGGCCUUUUACGAACUUUAGCUGGGGUUAUUUUAUAUCCAACACCAGUCCCCUUACUUUUGAGUUUGAGUUUUGAAUGAAGGAAGUACAGAGAAAUUUUCACAGUCGAAGUUAUCCUCUUCGAUUUUCGCACUCGGUUGUUUCCAAAUAUUUUGGCAUUUGGCACGCUGGUGCUGGAGCUUUUUCAAAUCGAGGCGAUCCGAAAAGAUUUUUUCGAAAUUUUCGCUGGAGCAUUGCUCUAGG
rnacentral:lncRNA from 1 species